rnacentral:rRNA from 1 species
GACGAACGCUGGCGGCGUGCUUAACACAUGCAAGUCGAACGGAAAGGCCCUGCUUUUGUGGGGUGCUCGAGUGGCGAACGGGUGAGUAACACGUGAGUAACCUGCCCUUGACUUUGGGAUAACUUCAGGAAACUGGGGCUAAUACCGGAUAGGAGCUCCUGCUGCAUGGGGGGGGUUGGAAAGUUUCGGCGGUUGGGGAUGGACUCGCGGCUUACCAGCUUGUUGGUGGGGUAGUGGCUUACCAAGGCUUUGACGGGUAGCCGGCCUGAGAGGGUGACCGGCCACAUUGGGACUACGGGACGGCCCAGACUGCUACGGGGGGCAGCAGGGGGAAAUAUUGCCCAAUGGGCGGACGCCUGAUGCAGCAACGCCGCGUGCGGAAUGACGGCCUUGGGGUUGUAAACCGCUUUCGCCUGUGACGAAGCGGGAGUGACGGUAAUGGGUAAAGAAGCACCGGCUAACUACGUG